rnacentral:rRNA from 1 species
GGAUGAACGCUAGCGGCAGGCUUAAUACAUGCAAGUCGAGGGGCAGCAGGGGUAGCAAUACUCGCUGGCGACCGGCAAACGGGUGCGGAACACGUACGCAACCUUCCCAAAACUGAUGAAUAGCCUUCCGAAAGGAAGAUUAAUACAUCGUAACAUAACGAGAUGGCAUCAUCUUGUUAUUAUAGCUCCGGCGGUUUUGGAUGGGCGUGCGCCUGAUUAGGUAGUUGGCGGGGUAACGGCCCACCAAGCCUGCGAUCAGUAACUGGUGUGAGAGCACGACCAGUCACACGGGCACUGAGACACGGGCCCGACUCCUACGGGAGGCAGCAGUAAGGAAUAUUGGUCAAUGGACGCAAGUCUGAACCAGCCAUGCCGCGUGAAGGAUGAAGGCCCUCUGGGUUGUAAACUUCUUUUAUCUGGGACGAAAAAAGGGGAUUCUUCCUCACUUGACGGUACCAGAGGAAUAAGCACCGGCUAACUCCGUGCCAGCAGCCGCGGUAAUACGGAGGGUGCAAGCGUUAUCCGGAUUUACUGGGUUUAAAGGGUGCGUAGGUGGGUAUGUAAGUCAGUGGUGAAAUCUUCGAGCUUAACUCGGAAACUGCCAUUGAUACUAUAUAUCUUGAAUAUCCUGGAGGUAAGCGGAAUAUGUCAUGUAGCGGUGAAAUGCUUAGAUAUGACAUAGAACACCCAUUGCGAAGGCAGCUUACUACGGGAUUAUUGGCACUGAGGCACGAAAGCGUGGGGAUCAAACAGGAUUAGAUACCCUGGUAGUCCACGCCCUAAACGAUGGAUACUCGACAUCAGCGAUACACUGUUGGUGUCUGAGCGAAAGCAUUAAGUAUCCCACCUGGGAAGUACGAUCGCAAGAUUGA